rnacentral:rRNA from 1 species
AGUGAACGCUGGCGGUAGGCCUAACACAUGCAAGUCGAACGGCAGCACAGUAAGAGCUUGCUCUUACGGGUGGCGAGUGGCGGACGGGUGAGGAAUACAUCGGAAUCUACUUUUUCGUGGGGGAUAACGUAGGGAAACUUACGCUAAUACCGCAUACGACCUACGGGUGAAAGCAGGGGAUCUUCGGACCUUGCGCGAUUGAAUGAGCCGAUGUCGGAUUAGCUAGUUGGCGGGGUAAAGGCCCACCAAGGCGACGAUCCGUAGCUGGUCUGAGAGGAUGACCAGCCACAAUGGGAAUGAGACACGGCCCAGACUCCUACGGGAGGCAGCAGUGGGGAAUUUUGGACAAUGGGGGCAACCCUGAUCCAGCCAUGCCGCGUGGGGGAAGAAGGCCUUCGGGUUGUAAACCCCUUUUGUGGGGAAAGAAAGCCGGAGGGCUAAUCCCCCGGGGUUAUGACGGUACCGAAAGAAUAAGCACCGGCUAACUACGUG